AUAUAAAAACCCAAAGAGAAGAUCAGCAGAUCCCUCUGAUAUUUAUCUUUGGUGGUGUGCUCAUCAUCUGCCUGAUGCAACAAUACCUGGCGUAUAAGUCUUCUAAGAACGUCGUUAAAGUCUUCUGCCAUCAAGCCAAUGAUGUACAUAUAUACCAGACCCAGGUCGUCAUGACAAACACACUGGAAACCUCAAGUGGAAAAAGCCACCCACUGGGUCGUUCAGGAGAGAUCCAGUCUUUAAAGAAGCAAAACUAGAGACCAAAAUAAGUCCUCUUCCUUCUAGAUGUGCAUCAUCUGCUUCUUCCUUCCCUAGAAGACUGAGGGAGCUAUCUUUCACAGAGUGUAUUCAGUGGUAUACGUGGAGCUCAGAAGUAGACACUUGCCUUGCCUCUAUUAGGACUUGAUUGAACCCAAAUACCACAAAAUUCUUUCUCUCUGCUGAGAAAAUGGAAAUUUAAGAUGGGAACCAAGCACUGUGUGGUCAACAUCCAUGAGCAUGGUUUAAUAUACAUACCAUGUGCUUGUUUUUCUGCUUGUGAACUUGUGAGAUAGAAAAACUCCCAAGUCAUCCACUUUUACUUGUUAUCAUUCAGUCACAUAAUAAAUUUCGAUUGUGCACUUGA
rnacentral:lncRNA from 7 species